GAUGAACGCUGGCGGCGUGCCUAAUACAUGCAAGUCGAGCGAACAGACGAGGAGCUUGCUCCUCUGACGUUAGCGGCGGACGGGUGAGUAACACGUGGAUAACCUACCUAUAAGACUGGGAUAACUUCGGGAAACCGGAGCUAAUACCGGAUAAUAUAUUGAACCGCAUGGUUCAAUAGUGAAAGACGGUUUUGCUGUCACUUAUAGAUGGAUCCGCGCCGCAUUAGCUAGUUGGUAAGGUAACGGCUUACCAAGGCAACGAUGCGUAGCCGACCUGAGAGGGUGAUCGGUCACACUGGAACUGAGACACGGUCCAGACUCCUACGGGAGGCAGCAGUAGGGAAUCUUCCGCAAUGGGCGAAAGCCUGACGGAGCAACGCUGCGUGAGUGAUGAAGGUCUUCGGAUCGUAAAACUCUGUUAUUAGGGAAGAACAAAUGUGUAAGUAACUAUGCACGUCUUGACGGUACCUAAUCAGAAAGCCACGGCUAACUACGUG
rnacentral:rRNA from 1 species